GUUACAUUUGAUUUCAAAAAUACAAUAUCAUAAUUUGGUGUGAAAAAUGCAACAGGCAAAAGGAGGGAACCAAUUGUCUUGGCUUCCUUUCCAAUGCCCAUCAUAUGUGCACAGGUGAAUAAGAUUUUGAGAGAAAGUGCACAUUGCUCUUUCAAAGCCAGCACAUUCCUCCAGAAUCAAUAAUGAUCCUUCCGCAGGUUCACCUACGGAAA
rnacentral:misc_RNA from 1 species